rnacentral:lncRNA from 1 species
UUUAUUACCGCUUGACUUUGAUUCCUUAAUUAAAUGGGAGUCCAUAUACUGAUUUGAUUAUGAUUGAUGCCAGUUCCUUAAUUAGGGACUGCUACCUUGCUUGUUUACUCGUCUUCAGUUUUCUAAGUACUCACAUUCUCUUUUGUAUGAGACAACUAACACAUUGCAUAUCACAAACACACACAUAGUAAUCACAAUACUUUCUCUUAUGCGAUUUCUCUACUUCUUUCUUGUGUUGUUGUUGCUCCCUG